rnacentral:rRNA from 1 species
CCUACUCUUGACAUCUACAGAAGCCAGCGGAGACGCAGGUGUGCCUUCGGGAACUGUAAGACAGGUGCUGCAUGGCUGUCGUCAGCUCGUGUUGUGAAAUGUUGGGUUAAGUCCCGCAACGAGCGCAACCCUUAUCCUUGUUUGCCAGCACUUCGGGUGGGAACUCCAGGGAGACUGCCGGUGAUAAACCGGAGGAAGGUGGGGACGACGUCAAGUCAUCAUGGCCCUUACGAGUAGGGCUACACACGUGCUACAAUGGCGCAUACAGAGGGCGGCCAACUUGCGAAAGUGAGCGAAUCCCAAAAAGUGCGUCGUAGUCCGGAUUGGAGUCUGCAACUCGACUCCAUGAAGUCGGAAUCGCUAGUAAUCGUGGAUCAGAAUGCCACGGUGAAUACGUUCCCGGGCCUUGUACACACCGCCCGUCACACCAUGGGAGUGGGCUGCAAAAGAAGUGGGUAGUUUAACCUUCGGGAGGACGCUCACCACUUUGUGGUUCAUGACUGGGGUGAAGUCGUAACAAGGUAACCG